rnacentral:misc_RNA from 1 species
UACCCGCAGCACAAGUGGUGGUCACUAUUACUGGGCGUAAAGCGCACGUAGGCGGUUUGUUAAGUCAGAGGCGAAAUCCCGGAGCUCAACUCCGGAACUGCCUUUGAUACUGGCAAGCUAGAGUCCGGAAGAGGUAAGUGGAACUCCUAGUGUAGAGGUGGAAUUCGUAGAUAUUAGGAAGAACACCAGUGGCGAAGGCGGCUUACUGGUCCGGAACUGACGCUGAGGUGCGAAAGCGUGGGGAGCAAACAGG